AGAGGCAACGCCUCUUUUCCUUUCUUCCUCACGCUUUUCUCUGUAAAAAAAGAAAUAAAGGAACAAACUCCCUCCUCUUUUACAGCAAACAACAACAAACAACAACAAACAACAUCCUCUCCAUCUCUCCUCGAUUUUCUCUAUCUCUCUCGCCGAUGAAACGUAAACAACAAUCAGCAAAAGAAACUCUCUCGGUUUCUAUCUCUUGCGAGGAACAACAACGGCGGCCAGCUCCGGUUUUGAUUCUCAGAUUGUUACCUCUUUACCGAACUUGCGAAGAACAAGACUCCUUGGUUCUCUUUCGUUGAUUGUUAUCUCCUCUCAGUGAACAACAACAAAUCGGUCCCUCUUGCUUAGUGAACAACAACAAUUUCGUUUUAUAUGUUUAAAGACAAACUUAAGAUGAUGUACAAGAACAAAAUGUUUUUUUGCAACAAUGAUUAAACAACAGUGUCGAGCAUGAGGUGUGAAGUAGACUUACCUUCGGCGAGGAGGUUUUCGCCGGAUUAUUGUUGAAGCCCCUGUUUGAUGAAGACGAUGCAAUCUCCUCUUCUUGGACUUGUAGGAAUUUUGGAUGUUAGGGAUGCUCGAAGGUUGAGCUUGUUGGAAGUUGAAGACUUGAAGAUGAAGCUUCAAGUUUGUUGAAGGAUGCUAGUAAGUGAGGUAUGAAACACUUACUUCUCUUCUCUUUUUUUUAUCUUGUAGAUGAAGUUCUUACUACUUCAACAAGACUUUUUUUAUGUGAAAGAAGCUUUGAAGUGUGAGAACUUUGUGUGUGUUCUCCGAUUUUCCUUCCUCUUCCCAUAUUUUCUUGCCUUUCCUCUAUUUAUAGAGGAACAAAUGAGGGACAAUUUUGGUCAUUUUGGCAACUAAGCUUAGUCUUUAAGCUCACUUAGUUACUAAGUUUUCAUCAUUGCAAAGAAUAUUCUUUCCAAAAUAAUCAUUGCAAAAAUUCCUUGAAUGCUAAGUUUACUUAAUAGCCAAGUUCCACAAAUUUGUGCACAUGGGAGAAUAUGCACAUGGGAGGGAAUAUAUUCUUCAUAACUCUUGCAAGUGAAAGUUCCACGACAUAACUUGUCUUCAUGUCAUGAAAUUGGUAGUCUCUAAGUAUAGCACUUAUGACAUAAUAUAUUCCUCUUUGACUUUGUUUGACUUUGUUUGACUUUUCCUUUUUCCCUUUUAUUUUUCGAAAAAGAUGGCCUCCAUGUGGGCUUUUGGGCUUUUUGAAUUAUUUAUUUGACUUUUGCUAAUUCCACCCUUUUUGUUUCUUUUUCAUGUGAAUGAGUAUUCUUGAAGAGAAAGCAUGAAGAAACUUGAACUUGAAGAAUGUAAACUUGAAGAUUGAAGAAUUCAAGAAAGCAUUGGAGACUUUUCUUUUCUUUUGUUCUUGUAGUUCCAAUAGAACUUCAACUUUAGAAGUUGCAUGAACUUGGACUUUGUAUCAAUGUAAUUUUGGUUCAUGCCUUCUUGAAAAUUUGUGUAGAAUUUGAAUGUUGUAUCUUGAAUUUUGGAAUGUAAUCUUCAAUCUUGGAUAAAGUCCACUUGUAAUUCAUUUGGAAA